AACGAACGCUGGCGGCGUGCCUAACACAUGCAAGUCGUGCGAGAAAGUUCCUUCGGGAGCGAGUAAAGCGGCGCACGGGUGAGUAACACGUAGGUAACCUGCCCCCCAGUCUGGAACAACUAGAGGAAACUCUAGCUAAUGCCGGAUGAGACCACGAUCCCUUCGGGGGUUGCGGCCAAAGAUGGCCUCUACUUGUAAGCUAUCGCUGAGGGAUGGGCCUGCGGGCCAUUAGCUUGUUGGUGAGGGUAACGGCUCACCAAGGCUGUGAUGGCUAGCUGGUCUGAGAGGAUGACCAGCCACACUGGGACUGAGACACGGCCCAGACUCCUACGGAGGCAGCAGUGGGGAAUAUUGCGCAAAUGGGCGAAAGCCUGACGCAGCGACGCCGCGUGGGUGAAUGAAGGCCUGGGUCGUAAGUACCUCGUCGUCGACGGGGAA
rnacentral:rRNA from 1 species